GGGACGCAUGCCCUCUUUGAUUAGUUUAUGUUGGUCUCCUUCUCAAUUAUUUUAUUAACUUUGUGCCCUUAGGCUACCUACUCAAGAGGAACUCUCACUUGCUUGUUUUCUCAGAAAGCAGGGGAGAAUAUCCUUGCUACUGUGAACGAAGUCUGUUUAGCUAAGGAAUACAAGGGAGAGAGCAGGGUUCCUGCAGUCAUUCUGGUGAUGUACAAUGGACAGCAGAGCAGAGAACUGAAUGUUCUGGAAGCUUGGUGGGGCAUACUCAGGUAUCAUACAGUACUACUUAAGAAAUACCAUUCCCCCAUGUUGGAAUGAUUACAGAAAAACACGUCAGCACACAAGAGGUAGCUGAAAAAGAAAAAUGGCACCUGAAACUUCAACCCUUUCAAGACCAAAGCCACGAUCUCUAGCCGCUGAACUUCUGACGUUCCCACUUGCUUUGUGUGAAAUCUAAAGUGCCAUUAUGUCCCGCUUCUCUUUGGCCCUGGCUUCCCAAAGCUGUCUCUCAGUUCUUCAGUGUUAGCCUUAGUGCCCUGGCCGGUGCUUAUCCACUUCCAUGCCUAAUUCUACCCGGCGUCUGCCAAGCACAAGUGCUCUGUCACUUCUGUUUCCUUUUUUAUCUGCAGUCCCAGUCGCAAGAGCUGACACAAGGUAUGCACUCAAUAAAUGUCAAAUAAAUAA